CAACUCUCAACAACGGAUAUCUUGGCUCUCAGAUCGAUGAAGAACGCAGCGAAAUGCGAUCCGUAGUGUGAAUUGCAGAAAUACGUGAAUCAUCGAAUUUUUGAACGCAUAUUGCGCUCGAGGCUUCGGCCAAGAGCAUGUCUGCCUCAGCGUCGGGUU
rnacentral:rRNA from 1 species